UGGGGAAUUUUGGACAAUGGGGGCAACCCUGAUCCAGCCAUGCCGCGUGAGUGAAGAAGGCCUUCGGGUUGUAAAGCUCUUUCGGUGGGAACGAAACGGUUACGGCUAAUAUCCGUGACUACUGACGGUACCUACAGAAGAAGCACCGGCUAACUACGUGCCAGCAGCCGCGGUAAUACGUAGGGUGCGAGCGUUAAUCGGAAUUACUGGGCGUAAAGCGUGCGCAGGCGGCGCGUUAAGACAGGUGUGAAAGCCCCGAGCUUAACUUGGGAAUUGCGCUUGUGACUGGCGUGCUGGAGUGUGGCAGAGGGAGGUGGAAUUCCACGUGUAGCAGUGAAAUGCGUAGAGAUGUGGAGGAACACCGAUGGCGAAGGCAGCCUCCUGGGCCAGCACUGACGCUCAUGCACGAAAGCGUGGGGAGCAAAC
rnacentral:rRNA from 1 species